UACGGAGGGUGCAAGCGUUAUCCGGAUUCACUGGGUUUAAAGGGUGGCGUAGGAGGGCAGGUAAGUCAGUGGUGAAAUCUCCGAGCUUAACUUGGAACGUGCCGUUGAUACUAUCGUGUCUUGAAUAUUGUGGAGGUGAGCGGAAUAUGUCUGUAGCGGUGAAUGCUUAGAUAUGACAUAGAUACCAAUUGCGAGGCGUG
rnacentral:rRNA from 1 species